UACAGAGGUCCCGAGCGUUGUUCGGAUUCACUGGGCGUAAAGGGUGCGUAGGCGGUCGGAUAAGUUUGAUGUGAAAUCUCCGGGCUUAACCCGGAAACUGCAUUGAAUACUAUUCGGCUUGAGGUCUGGAGGGGAGACUGGAAUUCCUGGUGUAGCGGUGGAAUGCGCAGAUAUCAGGAGGAACACCGGUGGCGAAGGCGGGUCUCUGGGCAGUAACUGACGCUGAGGAGCGAAAGCGUGGGGAGCGAACAGG
rnacentral:rRNA from 1 species